CGUAGGGGCAAGCGUUGUCCGGAUUUAUUGGGCGUAAAGAGCUCGUAGGCGGUUCCGUAAGUCGUGAAGUCAAAUCUCUGGGCUCAACCCAGAAUCGCUUCCGAUACUGCGGUGACUGGAGUCCGGUAGGGGAGUGUGGAAUUCCUGGUGUAGCGGUGAAAUGCGCAGAUAUCAGGAGGAACACCAACAGCGAAGGCAGCACUCUGGGCCGGUACUGACGCUGAGGAGCGAAAGCAUGGGGAGCGAACAGGAUU
rnacentral:rRNA from 1 species